rnacentral:rRNA from 1 species
AGGAACACCGAUGGCGAAGGCAGAUCUCUGGCCNGUAACUGACGUUGAGAAGCGAAAGCGUGGGAACGAACAGNAUUAGAUACCCUGGUAGUCCACGCCGUAAACGUUGGGCGCUAGAUGUAGGGACCUUUCCACGGUUUCUGUGUCGUAGCUAACGCAUUAAGCGCCCCGCCUGGGGAGUACGGCCGCAAGGCUAAAACUCAAAGGAAUUGACGGGGGCCCGCACAAGCGGCGGAGCAUGCGGAUUAAUUCGAUGCAACGCGAAGAACCUUACCAAGGCUUGACAUACACCGGAAACGGCCAGAGAUGGUCGCCCCCUUGUGGUCGGUGUACAGGUGGUGCAUGGUUGUCGUCAGCUCGUGUCGUGAGAUGUUGGGUUAAGUCCCGCAACGAGCGCAACCCUCGUUCUAUGUUGCCAGCGCGUUAUGGCGGGGACUCAUAGGAGACUGCCGGGGUCAACUCGGAGGAAGGUGGGGAUGACGUCAAAUCAUCAUGCCCCUUAUGUCUUGGGCUUCACGCAUGCUACAAUGGCCGGUACAAAGGGCUGCGAUACCGUAAGGUGGAGCGAAUCCCAAAAAGCCGGUCUCAGUUCGGAUUGAGGUCUGCAACUCGACCUCAUGAAGUCGGAGUCGCUAGUAAUCGCAGAUCAGCA